UUGGGGUGCUCAGAUUCCCUAAAAUUCCCCAAAAAUUUGGGAAUUAAUCAUAAAAAUAAGACAAAAAUUCGGAUUUUGGGCUGUUUUCCUUGGACUUUAUUGUGAAUUUUUGGGAUUUUUGGGUCCGGAAUUUUUGGGGGUCCCCAAAAUUUUGGGGUGCUCAAAAUUCCCCCAAAAUUCUGGAAUUAAUCAUAAAAAUAAGACAAAAAAUUGGAUUUUGGGGUGAUUUUCUCCGAAUUUAAUGGGGAUUUUUUUUUAUUUUUGGGAUUUUUGGGGAUUUUUGGGAUCGGGAUUUUUUUGGGUGGUUUUCCCCAAAUUUUGGGGUGCUCAGGACUCCCAAAAUUCCCCAAAAAUUUGGGAAUUAAUCAUAAAAAUAAGACAAAAAUUCGGAUUUUGGGGUGUUUUCCUUGGAAUUUAAUGGGGAUUUUUUGGGGAUUUUUGGGGAUUUUUGGGAUCGGGAUUUUUUUGGGUGGUUUUCCCCAAAUUUUGGGGUGCUCAGGACCCCCCAAAAUUCUGGAAUUAAUCAUAAAAAUAAGACAAAAAUUCGGAUUUUGGGGUGAUUUUCUUGGAAUUUAAUGGGGAUUUUUUGGGAUUUUUGGGGAUUUUUGGGGAUUUUCGGGUCCGGGAUUUUUUUUGGGUAGUUUCCCCAAAUUUUGGGGGGUUUUCCCCAAAUUUGGGGCUCAGGGCCGGGCCUGCAGCUCCUGCUGCAGCCGGCCCAGGAGCUGCCGCUGCUGCU
rnacentral:lncRNA from 1 species